rnacentral:snRNA from 1 species
GAACUAUACAUUUAAAAG